rnacentral:lncRNA from 1 species
UAAAUCUUUAUUAAAGCACUGGAUAAAUAUUAUGUUAUUAUUCAUUAUUUGGAUUUAACUAGGUGGCUCAGUGGAUAGAGAGCCAGCCAUGGAGAAGGGAAGUCCUGGCUUCUGGUCUCAAACACUUCCUGGUGGUGUGACCCUGGACAAGUCACUUGACUCCCAUUGCCUAGUCCUUACUCACCUUCUGCCUUGGAACUAAUAUGCAGUAUUGAUUCUUAGAUGGAAGUUCUUGGCUGUCUGUAGGAACAAUCUCAAAAUCUUCACUUUCCUUUGUGCUACCCAAAACAGCCUCGGAACCAGUGUGUACAUUCUUUGUAGGAAGCAUUUUGUUUUUGAAAUUUCAACUGGUUCUAAUCAAGUUUCAUGUUGACUUUAAUCUUUGGAUUACAACAAAUUGAUGUACUUGAAUGUGCACAGAGUGGUGAUUCAGCCAAGCAUUCUGGGAAAGUCAGUAAGGAGAUUGUCCGAAAAUAUUGUCAUCAGGACCAGCAGAUUUCCCACACCCAGAAAAACACAUAUCCUUGAAGUAUUAAACAUAAGUAGUUAUCUUAAAUACAGUUAUCUUAAAUACAAAAAUAAAUACUUUAUUCUAGUCAAUUCCUCUAAGACUCUCAUCACUUCUACUUUAGCAAUGUGUUUCCUUAGGUCUGGAAUAGCAGUCUUUCAUUUAACAUUCUGUCUUUUGUGAUGUAGAUGUCAUGAAAAGGAAUUAAUUUUAGAAAAAGGACAUUUCAGGGGGCAGAGCCAAGAUGGUAGAGUACAGGCAGCAAGUCAGUUGAAUUUCCCCCAUAUUCCUCUUCAAAAAAAUAUUAAAAUAAAGCCUCAAAUCAAAUUUUGAAGCA